rnacentral:rRNA from 1 species
CCUACGGGCGGCUGCAGUGGGGAAUAUUGGACAAUGGGCGAAAGCCUGAUCCAGCCAUGCCGCGUGUGUGAAGAAGGCCUUCGGGUUGUAAAGCACUUUCAGUGGGGAAGAAAGCCUUGGGGCUAAUACCCUCGAGGAAGGACAUCACCCACAGAAGAAGCACCGGCUAACUCCGUGCCAGCAGCCGCGGUAAUACGGAGGGUGCGAGCGUUAAUCGGAAUUACUGGGCGUAAAGCGCGCGUAGGCGGUCUGAUAAGCCGGUUGUGAAAGCCCCGGGCUCAACCUGGGAACGGCAUCCGGAACUGUCAGGCUAGAGUGCAGUAGAGGAAGGUAGAAUUCCCGGUGUAGCGGUGAAAUGCGUAGAGAUCGGGAGGAAUACCAGUGGCGAAGGCGGCCUUCUGGACUGACACUGACGCUGAGGUGCGAAAGCGUGGGUAGCAAACAGGAUUAGAUACCCUAGUAGUC